CAAAACUCAUAAAUUCCAUCCAAUACCAGGAAUAACAGACUUCACUCCAACUAAUCUAGAUUCACAGAAUUUUUGUAAUCACAGACUUCCUCUGUCCAAAACACACACAACUCUCAAUAAAUAAUAAUCAUAAUCUUCUAUCCAUAAUCAAACUUCCAAUAACUUCUCAUAUAAUUCAAUCACAUAAUACUCUAAUUAUAUAAUCAAUAACUUAUAAAUCAAUCUCUGAUUUAUUCCACAGACUCACUUCUCAGUAUUCAAAAAC
rnacentral:lncRNA from 1 species